GCACCUAAAUGCCAUAGAUUUAGCAUUAAAUCUCGUAAGAAGAAACCACAGGUUAGAAAAAUGAUAUAUAAUCACUGAUGAGAAGUUCUUUGUGAGAUCCAGAUCUAGGCAAAGUCGAGCCCAAUUUGUAUGCAUUGUAAGAAUUUAAAUUCAGAUGCAAAACUUACGGUUUCUAUCAAUAUAUUUGCAAAUCUCCAAAUCAAAUUUGUCACUUGCGAUUCAUCAGUGAGCAUAUGACCCACUGACUUCAGCUCUCUAAUCAUAUUUGAUAUCUCUCUCAAAUGCUGUUUCACUGUAUGAUUGGAGCGUAUCUUAUAAAUAUCAAACUUGAUGGUCAGCUGUCUCAACUUUGUCACAAUG
rnacentral:lncRNA from 1 species